rnacentral:lncRNA from 1 species
CCGCAGAACAAAAGACAAUAGAAAACAUAAAAAGACAGCAAAAAAAUAGAGAAGAAAAUCAGCCAAAAAACACACACUAAAUAUAGGACAAAAUACACAGCCAAGGGUCAUACACCAAUUCUGAAAAGUAUACUGAUUAGAGGUAACUAUUGCAGCGAACCACAACUAAGAUCUAACUUUUAUUGCAUCCAUGACAACAAUGUAGCUGCACUCCUUCUUCCCAAAAAUAAUAUCAUUUUUCACCAACCAAAUAGACCAAAUUACAAC